AGUUGUAGUCUAUGUAAACAGGAAGUACUAAGUAUUGGGGCAUAAGCGUUAGAUUUCAUGUAUUUUGUUUUUUCGCAAUGGCUUCAAAAGGACCCCAAUGCUAUGCAAUAAAUUGUACCACGUACAAGAAUCCACAGAGCCGAGCGGAAGGCGUCACAUUUCACAAGUUUCCAAGUGCUGAAAAAAAUCCAGAUCUUUUGCGUGUAUGGAUUCGCAACUGUAAGAGGAUGAAACAACCGUCUAAAUACAGCCUUGUGUGCAGUAAGCAUUUUGAAGAUGCUUGUUUUGACCGAACAGGCCAAAUAACUCGCCUGAGAGAAGGAGUAGCCCCCACUAUUUUCAAUCUGCCUCCUCAUUUACAGCUCAAAACGUCCAAAGUAAGGAGUACCCUGAAUUCAUGCAAUGAAAAGCUUGAAGGAAUUGAAUCAUCUGCUGUUGACCCAAAUGAUGUAGAGUACUUAGAUAAAAUUGUAAUAAAUCAGGAUCAUUCAUAUACCAGUUCCCCAAUGAAAUGGAAAAGGAAACUGCAGGAAGCGGAGGCAAAGCUUGAAACUGCCAGAAAGAAGUUACAUAAUUGCCAGAGACGAGAGCAAAGAUCAAAACAAACUUGUCAAGUUCUGGUGCAUGAUCUAUAUGAAAAGAAUAUGAUCAAUAUGGAAUUACGCUCUAAGCUAGAUUCAUAUGGAGAUAUCCCAUGUGAGCUUUUCAAGAGACCGU